CAAGCGGCGGGAUUUUCUCUCGAAUGGAAUUACCGAAACGAACAAAGUAGUGAAUGGCGCAUAGAUACGAACGGCUGAAACAAACUAUGCUGAAGGAACUGCUGGAAGCUCGAGGCAUAGUGGCAAGCAACAAGCCGAAAGCCACGAUAAUAGUUGAACUACUGGUGGUGAAUAUGAAGGAGACUGAGUUUCAAAGAGAUGUAAGGUGGAGAUGCAGUGGCG